rnacentral:rRNA from 1 species
AUUGAACGCUGGCGGCAGGCCUAACACAUGCAAGUCGAACGAGUGGCGGACGGGUGAGUAAUGUCUGGGAAACUGCCUGUUGGGGGGGGAUAACUACUGGAACCGGUGGCUAAUACCCCAUACCAUCAGAUGUACCCAGAUGGGAUUAGCUGGUGGGUGGGGUAACGGCUCACCCAGGCGACGAUCCCUAGCUGGUCGGAGAGGAGGACCAGCCACACUGGACUGGAAACACGCUCCAGACCCCUCUGGGAGGCGGCAGUGGGGAACAUUGGACAAGGGGGGCAAGCUGGAUGCGGCCAUGCCGCGUGUAGGAAGAAGGCUUCCGGGUUGUAAAGUACGUUCAGCGGGGAGGCGUUACCCGAAGAAGAAGCACCGGCUAACUCCGUGCCAGCAGCCGCGGUAAUAC